rnacentral:tRNA from 1 species
GAGGAUAUGGCGGAAUUGGUAGACGCAGCGGACUUAAAAUCCGCCGAUUAUUAUAAUCUUAAGGGUUCAAGUCCCUUUAUCCCCA